rnacentral:rRNA from 1 species
GACGAACGCUGGCGGCGUGCUUAACACAUGCAAGUCGAACGGAAAGGCCUAGCUUGCUGGGUACUCGAGUGGCGAACGGGUGAGUAACACGUGGGUGAUCUGCCCCUGACUUUGGGAUAAGUCUGGGAAACUGGGUCUAAUACCGGAUAUUCAUUUUUCCUCGCAUGGGGAUUUGUGGAAAGCUUUGGCGGUUGGGGAUGGGCCGGCGGGCUAUCGGCUUGUUGGUGGGGUAAUGGCCUACCAAGGCGACGACGGGUAGCCGACCUGAGAGGGUGAUCGGCCACACUGGGACUGAGAGACGGCCCAGACGCCUACGGGAGGCAGCAGUGGGGAAUAUUACACAAUGGGCGCAAGCCUGAUGCAGCGACGCCGCGUGAGGGAUGACGGCCUUCGGGUUGUAAACCUCUUUCAGCUCCGACGAAGCGCAAGUGACGGUAGGAGCAGAAGAAGCACCGGCCAACUACGUG